rnacentral:lncRNA from 1 species
CAAUGGAGAAAAAGUAAGAUCUUGAGUAAGCCUUUUGAUUCCAUAUGCACAAGUCGAUGAACUUUUGUACAAACAGAUGGGAUAUUUCAUAUAUUUGAUGUAUAUAACUUCGAAUUCAUCAUGGUUCUGAUUGUAUUCUAGGAAUAUACAUGAGUUUUUCUUUUAAUUUUUACUUUACUUAUUUGUAAACUUGUUCAUUUUCUUUUAAACUUACCUCUUUUUAGACCAAAAAUUGGUUACAAAAUGCUAGAAAUUCUCCCUCAUUUACCUGGGGAUUUUUAAAAAUUCGUGGACUGCCAUUCGGUAUAGAAAUUGCUCAAUCCGCUUCG